rnacentral:rRNA from 1 species
GCCCGCUCAGAAACUCAAAGGAAUUGACGGGGCCGCACAAGCGGUGGAGUAUGUGGUUUAAUUCGAUGCAACGCGAAGAACCUUACCUGGUCUUGACAUCCCGGAGACCCUUAGGAAACUAGGGGGUGCUUCCAUCUGGAAGAAUCUGGAGACAGGUGCUGCAUGGCUGUCGUCAGCUCGUGUCGUGAGAUGUUGGGUUAAGUCCCGCAACGAGCGCAACCCUUGCCUUUAGUUGCCAGCAGUUCGGCUGGGCACUCUAAAGGGACUGCCGGUGUUAAACCGGAGGAAGGUGGGGAUGACGUCAAGUCCUCAUGGCCUUUAUGACCAGGGCUACACACGUACUACAAUGGCCGAUACAAAGGGCAGCGACACUGCGAGGUGAAGCCAAUCCCGUAAAAUCGGUCUCAGUCCGGAUUGGAGUCUGCAACUCGACUCCAUGAAGUUGGAAUCGCUAGUAAUCGUGGAUCAGCAUGCCACGGUGAAUACGUUCCCGGGCCUU